rnacentral:tRNA from 1 species
GCCGUAGUCUAGCUUGGUCUAGGAUGCCAGCCUGAGGCGCUGGUGACCCGGGUUCAAAUCCCGGCGGCCCCA